CCUACGGGGGGCUGCAGUGGGGAAUAUUGGACAAUGGGGGCAACCCUGAUCCAGCCAUGCCGCGUGUGUGAAGAAGGCCCUCGGGUUGUAAAGCACUUUCAGUGAGGAAGAACGCCUGGUGGUUAAUACCCAUCAGGAAAGACAUCACUCACAGAAGAAGCACCGGCUAACUCCGUGCCAGCAGCCGCGGUAAUACGGAGGGUACGAGCGUUAAUCGGAAUUACUGGGCGUAAAGCGCGCGUAGGUGGCUUGAUAAGCCGGUUGUGAAAGCCCCGGGCUCAACCUGGGAACGGCAUCCGGAACUGUCAAGCUAGAGUGCAGGAGAGGAAGGUAGAAUUCCCGGUGUAGCGGUGAAAUGCGUAGAGAUCGGGAGGAAUACCAGUGGCGAAGGCGGCCUUCUGGACUGACACUGACACUGAGGUGCGAAAGCGUGGGUAGCAAACAGGAUUAGAUACCCGAGUAGUC
rnacentral:rRNA from 1 species